rnacentral:lncRNA from 1 species
CCCGAACGCCUUGUGCAGCUUUCGAGGGGUGCUCCUAAACCUUGAAACUUUUUCCUGCUAAGUCAUAUCGGAUGCUGGAUCUUCCCGCGACUUCGUUGCGAGCCAUGGUUGAAGCAGCGUCCGCAGAGUGGUGAGUAGUCGGUAUCUGUUUGUGAAACAUUCUUCUGAGCAUUUUCUUAAGUUGGUUAUACACCAUCUCCCUAAAUUCUUUUAUUAUUCUACAAGACUACCAUUAAUGAUAAAAUGUGCCGGGUUUUUUCUUUGCACUUCCAGCAUAGGUCAUCUUUAGACCGGUCCUGGGUGAUAUAUUGCCCAGGCACAGUUCUCUUUUAGCGCAUAACUAGCAGUCAAUUUUAAGUUUAUUUUCCACAACUGUUCCCACAGGUUCAAAUCAACAUUAUGACCCACAUCUUGUGCCCAUUUAAUCAUAGAAGAUUUCACAAAUUCUUCUUUCGUUUCCCAACUGAGUAAUAUUCUGUACAUUUUAGAUUAAUUUUUAACUAGAUCUUAAUAUUUCUUCUUUGAAUUGUGAUGGCUUUUAUGCAAAUCCCAAUUUCUUGUCUACCUUAAAUUUUGAAUUGAUUUGGUUAUAAUAUAGCCAGUGCAACACAUAUUCUUUAAUCCCUUCAAUUUAUUUCUUUUUUUUUUUUGUUCUUUUGAAAAGUCUAACAAUUCAUUAUAGGCACCCAAAUUAUCCCUCAUAUUACUUUUUUUCCUUGUGUCAGCUUCUGUUGGGGAUAACCAUGUUGGUGUUUUGUUUUCUAAUAAAUUUUUGUAUUUUUCCCAUACCCUAAUUAAGUUUUUUUAUAAUAAUAAUAAUAAAUUUUUAUUUAUAUCCCGCCCUCCCCAGCCGAAGCCGGGCUCAGGGCGGCUAACAACAAUCAAAUAAUCAAACAAUCAAAUAAUCAAACAUUCUAAAAACAUUUCAUUAUAAAAAUUAAUUAAAAUCAAAUUGAUGGCAACCGUUAAGCAAAAUUCUGUGCAGGUUGCCAGAGGAGGGAGUCAGGCUGCGCCCUGACCAAAGGCCUGGUGGAACAACUCUGUCUUGCAGGCCCUGCGGAAAGAUGUCAGGUCCUGCAGGGCCCUAGUCUCUUGUGACAGAGCGUUCCACCAGAUUGGAGCCGCAGCCGAGAAAGCCCUGGCUCUAGUUGAGGCCAGCCUAACCUCUCUGUGGCCUGGGACCUUCAGGAUGUUUUUAUUUGCAGACCGUAGGUUCCUCUGUGGGGCAUACCAGGAGAGGCAGUCCCGUAGGCACGAGGGUCCUAGGCCGUAUAGGGCUUUAAAGAUUAAAACCAGCACCUUAAACCUGAUCCUGUACUCCAUCGGGAGCCAGUGCAGUUGGUAUAGUACCGGAUGAAUGUGAUCUCGCAGCGAAGACCCCGUAAGGAGUAUCGCCACGGCAUUCUGCACCUGCUGGAGUUUCUGGGUCAGUAUCAAGGGCAGCCCCACGUAGAGCGAGUUACAUUAAUCCAGUCUGGAGGUGACGGUCGCGUGGAUCACAGCGGCUAGGUCAGGGCGAGAGAGAUAAGGGGCCAACUGCUUAGCUUGGCGGAGAUGAAAAAAUGCCGCCUUUGUUAUAGCUGUAAUCUGCGCCUCCAUAGAGAGGGAGGUAUCGAAGAUUACACCCAAACUCUUAACGGACGGUGCUGGCACCAAUUGCACCCCCCGCAAGAGAUGGGAGUUGCUCCCCCAAUCCCAUAUCGUCCCGUCCCAGCCAGAGGACCUCUGUCUUCGAAGGAUUUAACUUCAACCGGCUCCCACGUAACCAUCCAGCCACAGCUUCCAAACAUCUGGUCAGUGUGUCUGGGGCCGAGUCAGGAUGGCCAUCCAUCAACAGAUAGAGUUGGGUGUCAUCGGCAUACUGAUGGCAACCCAGCCCAAAACUCUGGACAAGCUGGGCGAGGGGGCGCAUAAAGAUGUUAAAAAGCAUCAGGGAGAGUAUCGCACCCUGAGGCACUCCACACACCAAGGAGUGGCGCGAUGACAACUCCCCCCCAAGCGCCACCCUCUGUCCCCGACCAGAGAGAAACGAGCGCAGCCAUUGAAGGACUGUGCCCUGGAUCCCCACGUCGGCAAGGCGGUGGUCCAGGAGUUCGUGAUCGAUCAUGUCGAAGGCUGCUGACAGGUCUAGAAGAAUCAGCAGCCCCGACCUGCCUCGAUCCAGCUGCCUGCGGAGAUCAUCUGUUAGGGCAACCAAAUAAUAACAUGGUUGGCAAAGCUUUUAUGUAUUCCAGCUUUUCCAUACCAAAUACAAAUGUGCCAACAGUAUUUGAUGACAUGGCCCUCCAAGUCUAGCAACUGUGUAUUUUCUAGCAGCAGUACCCAAUAUUGUAUCCAGCACAGGCAAGCAGUUUCAAAAUACAAUUCUAAGUCAGGGAGUGCGAAACCUCCUCUAUCUUUUAUGUCAAUAAGAAUCCUAGGCUUUAUCCUAGGCUUCUUCCCCGCCAAAUAAACUUAAGACAGAUCUUUUCACCACUCUUUCAGACAUUGUUUGGAAAAGAAAUAGCAUUUUUGGGAGAGUAUUCAUUUUUAUUGCCAAGAUUCUCCCCAAUAAUGAUAAUUGCAUUUUGCCCAAUAUAUCUAAAUCUUUUUAAACUUCUUCCCAAGUCCUUGCAUUGUAUCUUUAUAGAUGUUAUUUUUAUUUAUGUACUUAACUUUUUCUCUAUCUUCCAUCUGGUAAUUUCCCCUGACUGGGUUGAUUAUCCAUGUUCUUAACUAACAUUUUGGUUUUAUCUUUAUUUAUUUUGAAGCCCCCCAAUUUUCCAAAUUCGAUUAUCUCCUUUAACAGCUAUAGUACACUUUCUAAGGGUUGUUCCAGAGUUAAGACAAUAUCAUCCAUGAAAGCUUUUAUUUUGUAGUUUUGUUUGCCCACUCUUAUUCCUCUAAUUUUAUCAUUAUUCCUUAUAUUUUGCAAUAAAGCUUCUAGAGUGAGAAUAAUAGUGGAGAGAGUGGGCACCUUUGUCUUGUUCCUUUCAUGAUACUGCAUUUUUCUGAGAUGAUGUUGUUUACUAUAAUAUUUGCCCAUUGUUCCUUAUGUAAAGCGUUGAUACCUCUUAAGAAGGCACCACCUGGUUCCAUUUUUUCAAACACUUCUUUCAUAAAUAACCAAGAGAUGUCAUGUUUUUUCUGCACUGAGAAAAAUCAAGGCAGCCGGUUUUUCACUGUGUACCUUCAGAUAUUCUAUUAUGUUGUUAACUUUCCUUACGUUAUUUUUCAGUUGCCUAUCGGGGAGAAAUCCCACUUGAUCCAUAUGGAUCAACUCAUUCACCACUUUUUAAAGCAAUCGCACCCCGCAAAUAGCUUUGGAGCCUUCUUGCCUCUAGCCUAGCCCUCAUCCCUUUUCCUGUUCCCGCUGGAGUCUUCUUUUGCUUGCCACCCCUGCGGGCUCUCUUCCGGCCAACGCUGCCAAUGACAGAUCUUAAAAACUUGGUGUCGGUGAGAUUCUGCAAUCGCAGCACCUUGCGCCUGCUGGACCUCCUGAGCGGAGCGGGUUGUGUCUUGCUCCUCGUGAAGUAGGGUGAAAUGUGAGGAGCGUUGCAAGCCGGUGCAGAGGCAGAAGGUCUGGCCGAGAUGGUAGAGAACGGCUUCUCUGUCAGGGGCUUCUUCCUAACCCAGUGGAACACCAGUAUCAUACGCCUCUUAGAUGGGUUGGACAUGCUGAAGAAGGUGCUGGAGGCCCAAAGACCAGGGUGACUUCAAAGUGGAGGACGCAGCAGGCAGUUCCCUAUCAAUGGUGCCAAAUCCAAGCAAAUGUUAGCUCCAGUCCUGUUAAAUCGAUCCAGCAAUUAUGAACGUUUAAUAAGGGAUUAAUUCCUCAGGCGGUAUGAAAAGACUUUCUGUGGCUUUUUAAUAGAUGGGAGUUCCCAACUACUGCCACUGUUGACAGCCUGUUGCCCCUUCACUCUGCUUGAAUGGGUUAUGUCACAAUGGUUCCUUCAUCAGGUGUUUGUGAGCAUGAAAAUACUGUUGGGAGUUUCAGCAAUGAAGGCUCAGGCAUGACAUAUUGUUUGAAAGUCUGAACAUUUCCUCUUUUUUUAUUUAACAAAAUUUAUAUACCACUUUUAUAAUUUACCAUAUUUUUCGCUCUAUAGGAUGCACUUUUCCCCCUCCAAAAUUAAGGGGAAAUGUGUGUGCAUCCUAUGGAGUGAAUUCAGGCUCCUUGGCUUCAGCGAUAGCAACGCGAAGCCUCCGAAGCGCAGAGGGAGCGCUCCCAGUCCCACCAGGAGAUGCUGGGGACUGAACCUGAUGCCUUCUGCAUGCUAAGCAGUUGUUCUACCACUGAGCUAUGGCCCUAGCUCACAAUAUUGCUGUCAGGAUAAAAUGGAGAAGGUAAAUACGGUAACUGUACAGAAUAGGCACCUGAAUAUAGAAGCAAAUCCAAAGGGGUGCAUGUGUGUGGAAAUAGUAACUGGGAUCUUUAAGUCUCUACCCGGAACUUCAGUCCUGCAGCAGGAAUCCCUGAAGUUCUCUGCUCCAGUCCCUGGUUUCCAUUUUCCAGCUUUCCACCAGCCUAUUUCUCCUCCGCCUGUUCUUCCUGCAAACCACAUCAGUUAACAAACAUGGCUACAUAUGCUAUAAUGUUAUUGUACUAGUUAAAUACAUUGUUUAAAUUGUUAUUAAGGAAAUGAUUAUUUUUCUCCUUCCAAUAAAGUACAGGAGAAAAGUGGUCCAAAUAUAAACAGUUAACUUAUUAAACCUCACAAUAAUUUCAUAAUUAUCUGUCUAUGUAUGUGCUUUGCUUUUAUUUAGUUUAUGGGAAAUGUUACUGAAUAUUGCCAUUGCAUUUUUAUUGUGCAUUGUUCCAUUAUUAUUUUUUAUUGUUUAUAUUGUUAGGCAGUGGGUUUUAUUUCAGUUGGGCGGGUGGGGCAGCCAACAUGAUACCCUGCAGAUGAUUGUUGGAAUAAAGCUUCCAUUAGCCCCAGCAGCAUGACCAGUGGGCUUGCAUGAUGGGAGUUAUAGUGGAACAUCAUCCAGAGGGCACGAGUGAGAACACAGAGUGAGUUGAACCAUUGCAACACCUGUGUGUAGGAACCAGUGGCACGAUGUUAUCUCAGAUAGCCUCUUGCCAUUGUUAUAGCUUCUCUCAAUUCCGGAAGGAAUAUUGGAAGUCAGCCCAUAUAAACUGGGCAGAAAGCCUUACCACUGUUUUUUUCAGUGUUAUGUACACCAGCAUUCAUCUCAGAGUGGUCUAAAGGCAUGUGAUGCUGCCACGUUGUUGUUGUUUUAAUUGAACAUUGUUAAAGCUACGGAAGGGUCAGACUCAUCAUCACUUCAAUAGUAGAUUGCCUGGGAAUUGUCUAUAAAUGGUUGAGCUUCCUGAAGGAAGAGCGCAGAACACAGCAUGUUAAAUAAAAGAAGUCACAAGCAACAAACUCUUCUUCCCCCCCCCCCCGUGUUGUUGAUUCCCCUCCCCCCCAAGUAAAUCCCUUCUGGUUGGCAUGACUGAAUGCCACUGAAUGGGAGCCGAGCAAGAGAUAGAGUAGGGGCCAAAUGACUAGUUAAACUGCUAAUAUUAGCCUUACUCUGUCAUUUCAGCUGGGGCUUAAAUGCACAUGCAAGGAAGUGAGAGGAUGCAAAGGUGUGCCAGGUCUGAGUCAUACACACUGAGUCCCUGUCACUCUUAGUGUGUUCAUCGCCUGCAGUGGGGAUGUCAAAUUCAGAUUCAUUAAUUAAGCAACAAAAUACAGGUCGCAGCCAAAUAUUAUUCAUAAGAAUUAUACAAAAUAAUAAAAAUGAAAUCUAUGCAAUAAUAAAAAGUACCUAAAAACCAGAAUUGACCUCCUUCGAGGUACGCGCCAAAGUUUCUCUCUGUCCCCACUACUGUUUGCAGUGUUUAUAGAGGCACUUUCCUUAAAACUUUGUGGGAACACUUCAGUAAAAGAGGUUACGGUGAGAAGCGUAGAACACAACAUGAAAAUGUUUGUGGAUGACACUCUCUUGAUCCUCCAGAACCCCCAGGUGGCCUUCCCCUAUAUAUUAGAGCAACUCAAUAAAUUCCACAAAGUGACAUGUUUGCAAAGUAAUUAUAGUAUUCAGAAUCCACCAUCCUUUUGGUCGACCUGAACACAGAGGAUCACAAUUGGCUUCUCUCUAACUCAGGGUUUCCCUAACUUGAGUCUUCAGCUGUUUUUUGGACUACAACUCCCAUCAUCCCUGACUUCUAGUCCGGCCACCCAGGGAGGAUGGGAGUUGUAGUCCAAAAACAGCUGAAGACCCAAGUUAGGGAAACCCUGCUCUAAACCCCCUGCCAUAGUCCUAAGGAUAACUCACACCUGAUGUUAAACAGUUCCCUGAAGGAACUACGGUACCAUUUUGCACGUGGCCAAGGCAUGAUAAUGUUGGUACUAAGCAAAUUAGAGCCCAAGUGACAAAUGGCAGCACUAAAGCUCCAUUCUUUAUUAUGCACACCUAUUUUACAGCGCGCGCCCCUUGAUCACUUGUGCGGCUUACUUCCCAGCAGCACUGCACAGGAUCAGGCCCUUAAUGCUGUAAUCUUAAACAAGGGCCCUGCCCAGAGGAGAAGCUCCCAGUACCUUGCACACCAAUGAGAGGAAGCAAAGCAUAGCAUUAAAGCAUAGCAUAGCAUUCAAUCAUAUAUCAUUCUCUCAUAACAUUGGAAGUAAUGGGCAUGGUUAACUUAGGCCUGCGAGGUCUACCACACCCUGGGAACAGCUUCGACUGGCUGGCUAAACCAAGAGAGGUAGCCAAUGGGUCUCAAACCUUUGGUGCGUUAGGGACUUCCCCUGCAUGUUGAAAAGAACCAAAAUGCUCACCAGCUGGUCUCCGGUCCUUUGGGGAUUCCGUGAGCCCGCUAGGUGAAAGGAUUCCCUGCGGUCGGAGGAUUUCAAGAAAACAGGCAAGACCAAGGCAAAACUUAAAGCAAAGUGGCUAAGAAGCCUGACCUUUAUUUGUAAGCAAAACUGCUAUAGCAGGGUCAGCACUCCCCUUGCAAAGAGAAGAGUCAAACCCCUCCCAGAAGGUGCUCCCAACUUUUAUUAGUUUCCCCAUUUUCAGUUGUAACAUCAAUGCUCUAGGUGGCACUGUUUGAUAACAUUCAGUGACUGGAGCUCGACAAGUCAUUAAAUGCAGACAAUUCUAAACACUCAAUUCUUUCAUUAGCUAUAUGUAAUAGUGCUGUUCUCUAGUUCUUUUUUUAGCUGUCUUUAUGUACAAGGACUGUCCACUUUAUUUGGAGGCUUUAGGUAAGUACACACGAUAUAAUCAAGAACAGAAAACUGUACUCCUUGUUUUUUCUGUUGUUCAGAUCUGCCCCCAGCCAUGGGGGUCUUCUGGAGUUUGGGCAUAUGCAUAAUUGCUGGCUAAUCUGUCUGCUCUUUACCCCCAACAGGAACAGCUUUGCAAAAAGAAUGUAACAGCUACUUGACUCAGGACAUCUAUGGAUUUCCGCUGGAAUGUUUGUGGCCCCUUGCAGUCUCAUCUCCUGAUGCACAUUUCCUAGUAGUCUCAAUGUCUGCAUCUAAUGAAUAAACUGUGAAUCUAUUGUCAG